rnacentral:rRNA from 1 species
CUCGUAGGCGGCCAACUAAGUCGGACGUGAAAUCCCUCGGCUUAACCGGGGAACUGCGUCCGAUACUGGAUGGCUAGAGUUCGGGAGAGGGAUGCGGAAUUCCAGGUGUAGCGGUGAAAUGCGUAGAUAUCUGGAGGAACACCGGUGGCGAAGGCGGCAUCCUGGACCGACACUGACGCUGAGGAGCGAAAGCCAGGGGAGCAAAACG